UUUGUCGGGGACACAGAGAUCCGGGCAGUGUACACAUCACCAUGGCGAUGGGGGCGUGGCUUGACGGCGUCGCUGUAUCUGGGCUGCACUUGGCUAAUUGCCAGAUAGGCGGUUGUAGCCUACUCAAGGUGAUCAGAACUACUGGGUUUUUGAAGAGUUUGUACACAGAGAAUCCGAACUGAAAUCGGAUAAUGUGAAGCCAAGUCACCGCAGUGUUACUUCUACCAUUAUAAUCAGUGUUAGGCAGUGUAAGCACAUCUACAUGUAUAAGGUCCUCAUAUCCAUCAUCUCUGAUGCCCAAGUGCUAGGGUCGUCACCGACACAGCUGUGCAACCUCACAAGGCAGAACUUGCCGAGCCUGAGCAAUUGAUCAAAUAGCAUCAGGAUAAGAGCCGUACAGUCACAGGGAACAUACUACAGAAUGAAGAAUAAAUCCAGGAGAUGGCCCAGAGCAUCAGGAGGCCUAGCACAAAAGAAAACUCCACAGUAUCAGAUGCAGUCCUUUCGGUCGCAUAAGUCCAGAAGAGGUCGGGGCUCCUCCUUCCUUGCCAGAGAAUCGGAGUCGGAUACUGAAGAGGGCGAUUGAAUUGCUGAUGGUGUUGUCAGUAAGCAAACACAGGAGCUGUAGAUAAAAUGUCAUUAUCAAUUAUGUGUGUUUCCGGUUAUUACAUCCUACCUCCUGUAUCAAGCAUGAUAUAAGGGCUGUCAUCACUUACACUAUAUUUUAUCUUUUUUUUUAUUUUAUAUUUUUGUCAUUUUUUCAUUCUAAUUUUUUUUUUUCUCUCCCUCUUACGGUCGCCAUGUUUUUUUUUAGUGUAACAAAACCAAGCAACCAUGAUUUAAGCAGCCACGCUCAGCCUAGGUUCAUGUCUUCAAUUUUUGUUUCCCCACUACCUCUUGUAUUUUCUACUGUUAUAAUGUAAUUCAAGGCCUUUCAAAUUGUAACAAUUCGUUUUAUCCCCUGGUUUUCUAUUAAAAAUGAAGUUUAAAAUCA